CCUACGGGUGGCAGCAGUGAGGAAUAUUGGUCAAUGGGCUUACGCCUGAACCAGCCAAGUCGCGUGAGGGAAGACUGCCCUAUGGGUUGUAAACCUCUUUUGUCGGGGAGCAAAGCGAGUCACGUGUGACUCAUUGAGAGUACCCGAAGAAAAAGCAUCGGCUAACUCCGUGCCAGCAGCCGCGGUAAUACGGAGGAUGUGAGCGUUAUCCGGAUUGAUUGGGUUUAAAGGGUGCGCAGGCGGAGGUGCAAGUCAGCGGUCAAAUUACGGGGCUCCACCCCGUAAUGCCGUUGAAACUGCAUCCCUUGAGUGCGCGAGAAGUAUGCGGAAUGCGUGGUGUAGCGGUGAAAUGCAUAGAUAUCACGCAGAACUCCGAUUGCGAAGGCAGCAUACCGGCGCCCGACUGACGCUGAGGCACGAAAGCGUGGGUAUCGAACAGGAUUAGAUACCCGGGUAGUC
rnacentral:rRNA from 1 species